rnacentral:rRNA from 1 species
GCUUGCUGCAUGCUUUAUACAUGCAAGUCGAACGAAGGCCCUAGCUUGCUAGGUGUCCUUAGUGGCGCACGGGUGAGUAACACGUGGGAACAUACCUUAUAGUACGGAAUAACUGCGGGAAACUGUAGCUAAUACCGUAUACUCCAGUAAUGGGAAAGAUUUAUCGCUAUAAGAUUGGCCCGCGCAAGAUUAGCUUGUUGGUGAGGUAAAAGCUCACCAAGGCUUCGAUCUUUAGCUGGUUUGAGAGGAUGAUCAGCCACACUGGGACUGAGACACGGCCCAGACUCCUACGGGAGGCAGCAGUAGGGAAUAUUGGACAAUGGGGGCAACCCUGAUCCAGCAAUGCAGCGUGAGUGACGAAGGCCUUAGGGUUGUAAAACUCUUUCAUCGGUGAGGAUAAUGACAGUAGCCGAAGAAGAAGGACCGGCUAAUUCCGUGCCAGCAGCCGCGGUAAUACGGAAGGUCCUAGCGUUGUUCGGAAUUACUGGGCGUAAAGCGCAUGUAGGCGGAACAGAAAGUUAGAAGUGAAAUCCCUGGGCUCAACCUAGGAAUUGCUUUUAAAACUUCUGUUCUGGAAUUCAGGAGAGGAAAAUGGAAUUUCCAGUGUAGAGGUGAAAUUCGUAGAUAUUGGAAGGAACACCAGUGGCGAAGGCGAUUUUCUGGACUGAUAUUGACGCUGAGAUGCGAAGGCAUGGGUAGCAAACGGGAUUAGAUACCCCGGUAGUCCAUGCAGUAAACGAUGGGUGCUAGUCGUCGGACUUUUGUUCGGUGUCGUAGCUAACGCGUUAAGCACCCCGCCUGGGGAGUACGGUCG